rnacentral:rRNA from 1 species
UACGGGGGGAGCAAGCGUUGUUCGGAUUUACUGGGCGUAAAGGGCGCGUAGGCGGUCAGCACAAGUCAGUUGUGAAAUCUCCGAGCUUAACUCGGAAAGGUCAACUGAAACUGUGCGACUAGAGUGCGGAAGGGGCAACUGGAAUUCUCGGUGUAGCGGUGAAAUGCGUAGAUAUCGAGAGGAACACCUGCGGCGAAGGCGGGUUGCUGGGCCGACACUGACGCUGAUGCGCGAAAGCCAGGGGAGCGAACGGG